GCUCCCCGGCGGCAGAGCAAGGCAGCGGCACCUGCCUCUGCCUCCCCGGCUGCUCUCCCCCCUCUCCGCUCAGGGAGGGACAGCACCUCUCAGGCGCGGAGGGGGGGCCCGAGCAGCCCUUCACUGAACACCUCCCUCCCUCCCCCCUCCUCCUCCUCCUCCAAAAGGGAGAAAAAAAAAGGGGAAAAAAAAAGGAUGCUCCGGCACAGCAAACGCCAAAGAGGAAAAAGCACCCCCCCUCCCGAGCAGCGGAGAAGAGAGACGGGAGCGGUGCCGAGGAGCCGGGGCGCGGGUGCUAAUGCUGCAUUCCCGGGGAGCCGGGGCAGCGCAGCGGGCACCCCGCGAGUCGGGCAGCCCCCGCCGCGGGCGGGAGGUGCCGCCUGCGCCCGUCUUUCCUUUAGGUCGUGGUCGGGCAGAGCCGCCGGGCGGGAUGCGCGCAGCGAGGGGCUGAGAGCAGAGCAAAGUGUGCGGCGGCGGCAGAGAGAUUCCCUCCGGGCACUGGCGUUGCGCGCCCGCCGGCCGGGCACCGGCUCCAGGUGGGGCUCUCGGCGCGGGGGGGGGCGGCAGCUCCCUCCCUCCCUCCUUCCCUCCGCGCGCUCCCCGCGCGGAGGCUCGGCCGCCCCACGCGAGACCCGCCGCGCGCGCGCACCCCCGCGCGCACACCCGCACGCACCCACCGGCGGGCGCACGGGAGCGGCUCCCCCACCCCCCUUCCUUCCCCGCGCUGCCCGGUGCAGCCCCCCCGUUCACAGCCGCCACCCUCCCCCCCCCCUUCCCCGCGCACAUGCGGCACGCGAACACGCUCCCACGCGUGCCUUGGCACCUCCGCGAGGUCUCCGCGCACACACGCACACGCGAGGCGCGGAGGGGUGCAUGUGUGUGUGUGUGCGUUCUUCUGCCGUUAUCAUUUCCCCGCCGAGACCCGGCACCGUGAACGGAGGCCGCAGCAGGACCCCCGCGGGCUGCCCCCCUCCGCAGCGGGUUACUUGCGCGUCUCAGCGGACGCGGGUCGUGCCCCACACACUGCCCGAGGCUCUGUGCCCCGCUCCCGGCAUGGCCCCCCACCGCCCCACCCUGGAACACGUUCACUUUGCCCACCCUGCGCCGUGGUAUGCAAAGUCCCUGAGGAGCAGCGCGGUGUGCUCAUUUGUCCCGAGGCAGGAGGCAAACCGGGAAACUUUCCCUAACCCUGCCUUAGGCACUUCGUAUCUUAUACAUGUUCCUAAUUUUUCCUGAAGUCACUCGUGACAAACCUUUGAAGAUCUAGUAUCACAUAUGCAAUGGCAGCACCUGUGCAGUUAACUGGAAGGAAUAUGGCUUGAUUAAUUCUAAGAUCAUUGUGAUCUGACUUGAGAGUAAAAGGCCUCACCCAUAACCUUGUAGCACUCGCUGCUUUGCAGCCUUUCCCUCAGAACGACAUCCAACAGCGUCGACUUCAACGCAUCAGUGAUGAAGAGUCCACCACAUCUCUUGAUAAAUCCUUGCAGUUAUCCAUUUGCUAAGAGGUGCAUCUCCUAUUCAGUAACAAUUUGUCUUACUCCAGCCUCUAAUCACAGGUUCUCGUGAUGCCUUUAUCAGCUCAAGGCAACAGAGCAUCGGUGAUCCUCUCCCAUGCACGGGGGCUAAGAUUAAUCACAGCAUUUUGCUUCUGUGAAAUAAUGAGACCAACUUUCCACUUGCCUCAGGAGUCAUUCCUGGAGGCAUUUCCAAGGCACCUCUCCUUUUCCAGCUUUAUGUGUGAACUGGUCCGUAAGACACUGCAAAACCUGCCAGCGCUGGGCACUGGCAGCACCCGCAGCACCUCCCUCAGCACCAGCCGCCCCCGAGGUCCAGCAGGUCAGCAGAGUUAACUCUGCGGGCAAACCAGCCAGCCUGCAGGCCUUGUGUGGCUACCUCUUCAUGGAACACCUUUAGUACCUAAAGGGGGCUGACAGGAAAUCUGGAGAGGGACUUUUUACAAGGGCAGGUAGGGAUAAGACAAGGGGGAACGGCUUUAAACUGACAGAGAGUAGAUUUAGAUUAGAUACGAGGAAGAAGUUCUUCACUGUAAGUGGUGAGAUACUGGAACAGGUUGCCCAGAGAAGCUGUGGCUGCCCCAUCCCUGGCAGAGUUCAAGGCCAGGUUGGAUGCGGCUUUGAGCAACCUGGUCUAGUGGAAGGUGUCCCUGCCUAUGGCAGGGGGUUGGAACAAGAUGAUCUUUAAUGUUCCUUUUAACAAAAAACAUUAUAUAAUUCUAUAAAUAAUCUACACCAUGUUUUUAACCUGCACUGCCUAAAAGCAUGACCUACUUGUUCCCUUCUGUGCACCCAAUCUUGCAUUAGGAUAAAUCAAACUACAUGCUUUAUCUGUACAAGUGACCUGCCCUGUUUCUUCAUCACCUUCAAACUUAUCAGUAACUUACUUUCCUCCAGAAAAUUAUCAUGAAACCAAGAACAGAUCUUCCUAGGAUGCCAACAGGAAUAGGUGCCACACUGAAUCUGUAUAAUGUUAUUUUUAAUCAGAACUUCAUAUGCUAAAUGAUGUUUCACCAUUCUCAACUUGCUCUGGAAUAGAUACCAAGUUUAUUUGUCAAAAUCUGUUUCACAGAAAAUCGUUCUUCACUGCUUGUAUCCUGUACCAUUCUGUGAUCUUCUCCAGCACUUGGCUACCAGGACUACAGCUACUUGGAUCACUAUGGUUAUCAUUUUACAAUACUGGCAGCAUAUUAACACACAUACUCACACUGUGUCUGGAAUGUCAUCAGCUUCCAAAGCUUUUUUAAUUUUUUUAAAGCCAUUUCCCAG
ensembl:lncRNA